rnacentral:rRNA from 1 species
AUGGCCGGCGCCCGCAAGCUGUUCGGCGAAAUGCCAAUGCCGAUGCCCACGACCGCCCUGAGUACUCGGCAUUCAUGGAGAAUGUCAUCUUCGAGGGCCGUGGUGAGGCCUUCCACGUCGACGGCCAGACCCAAGCUUUUGAUCCUGGCGCCAUCCAAAGCCAGGAUGGCCGCGACCACUAUGAAGACACUCAAUUCGUCGACUGAUGAAGAUGAGGACGACCAUGGCAAGUCUUGGCAUGAAGAUGAUUACUUGUAUUGUGAAGAUGAGGAAGAAGAGGUCGACAUUUCGGUCGAGCAAUUGAUGUUUAUCGAUGAGCUCACCCAAAAGGCCGAGGCACAAAAGAGGAGGCAAAGCAUUCGCACGGGAUCGUACACCCAAGAUGAUGACACUUUGAUUUGCGAGAGUUGGAUGGAGAUAUGCCAAGAUCCCAUGAAAGGUGCCGAGCAAAAAGGAGCCGUCUUUUGGACAAGAGUUCACAAGAACUUUCAUGAGUGA